CGAUGAAGCCCAGCUUGCUGGGUGGAUUAGUGGCGAACGGGUGAGUAACACGUGAGUAACCUGCCCUUAACUCUGGGAUAAGCCUGGGAAACUGGGUCUAAUACCGGAUAGGAGCGUCCACCGCAUGGUGGGUGUUGGAAAGAUUUAUCGGUUUUGGAUGGACUCGCGGCCUAUCAGCUUGUUGGUGAGGUAAUGGCUCACCAAGGCGACGACGGGUAGCCGGCCUGAGAGGGUGACCGGCCACACUGGGACUGAGACACGGCCCAGACUCCUACGGGAGGCAGCAGUGGGGAAUAUUGCACAAUGGGCGCAAGCCUGAUGCAGCGACGCCGCGUGAGGGAUGACGGCCUUCGGGUUGUAAACCUCUUUCAGUAGGGAAGAAGCGAAAGUGACGGUACCUGCAGAAGAAGCACCGGCUAACUACGUGCCAGCAGCCGCGGUAAUACGUAGGGUGCGAGCGUUUCCGGAAUUAUUGGGCGUAAAGAGCUCGUAGGCGGUUGUCGCGUCUGUCGUGAAAUCCGGGGCUUACCCCGGAUCUGCGGUGGGACGGGCAGACUAGAGUGCAGUAGGGGAGACUGGAUUCCUGGUGGGCGGUGGAAUGCGCAGAUUCAGGAGGAACACCGAUGGCGAAGGAGGUCUCUGGGCUGUAACUGGCGCUGAGGAGCGAAAGCAUGGGGAGCGAACAGGAUUAGAUACCCUGGUAGUCCAUGCCGUAAACGUUGGGCACUAGGUGUGGGGACCAUUCGACGGUUUCCGCGCCGCAGCUAACGCAUUAAGUGCCUCGCCUGGGGAGUACGGCCG
rnacentral:rRNA from 1 species